CCCUCGCCUCACCUCCAGGGCGGCCUCGGAGCAAAAGAGUGGCGGGUAACACCAGCAGGAGAAGCAGCAGCAGGCGGGAGAAGGGCUUCAUGGCGCGGCCGCUCCGGCGCCCAGUCCCCGUCCGCAACGACUCUCGGCGGCUCCGGCGGUGGAUUCUUAACCACUGCACCACCAGGGAAGCCCAAACUAGUUUGCCAGACUGCUCGGCUCGCAGGAUCUUCGUUCCCCGACCAGGGACUGAACCCGAGUCCUCGGCAGUGAAAGCACUGAGUGCCAACCACUGGUCUGCCAGGGAAUUCCCUGAUUUUUAAUAAUUCAGAAAUAUGAUAAUAGACUUCUCCAUUAAAAAAUAAAUUACGUUAACCACUUUUUAAUUAAGGUGGGAUCCAAAUGGGCUGUAACUCUCUAGAUACCAAGAUAUUUUUAUGUUCUUCCCAUGUAUUUUUCCUGUUUUAUCUGCCUUUAUCUUAAAUUUUCCAGCUUUAUUGAGAUAUAGUUGAUAUAACACUGUGUAAGUUUAAGGUAUACAACGUGUUGAUUUGAUACACUUAUAUAUUGCAAAAUGAUUACCACUAUAACUUAGCUAACACCUCCAUCCCCUCACAUAAUUACCAUUUUCCUUGUGAUGCCUUUAUCUUUAGAUGCCAUCUAAAGUAUGAGUGCCAUUUUCCAAAGCACAUCCCUUAAUCAUGAUUGCUGUAGACACCUGCUGCUGUAAGACUAGUGGUAGCAUAUGCAACAAUAUAAAUGUGCCCCAUCCACUAUGAAAAACUGCACAUAUUUGAAAAUUUCUGCAUUUUGAAAGAAAAAAAAUCUGAUUAAACAGAAAUCAGGUGGAACAAUAUUUAAAAUUUCAAAACCUGAAAAUGCAAACUUCAAUUGUAUAUUUUUGUGGGUGAAUAAUGCUGCUACUAUGCCAGUGUGUGACCAUUUCAAUGAGCAAAAUUUUUGAAGGUUGAUAAUUUCCUGAACUUGUUAAUAAAAUGGUGUUGUAUAUAAAAAUGCUAGCAAAGCAACAAAAGGUGUUUCUUACCAAGAAAUCAAGCUCUUCAUUUAGGUUGUGGUACUGAUCCAGUUUGGCUCCCAGUAAGACAGGUACCUCUCCGACAUUCUUGGCUUCAUUUGAAUCCAAGUCUGUAACCUGAGAUGAAACAUAUUUGUACUCACUUCCAGUAUGUUCACACUCCUUGGAACAUUUGACAAUGAAUAUGUUAUUAGUUUAACCAUCAGAGAGAUCUCCAGUGGUUUCAAUAACAGAUGUGUAGAACUUGGAGUCAGAAUGACUUCAAUGUUAAGUAUCUAAAAUUGUAUUUUUGUAUGUUAAAGACAGUACAUAGUGAAUGUUUAACUCACCUCUGUAACCUGAUCUUGAAAUGAUUUUUCAUUAGCAAUUAACUCUCUGAAAGCUGUGAUUCUGUCUUUAUGUUUCAGUAGCUAAGGAGAAAAGCAUUUUCUAUUUCAGAGGAGAGGAAAUAAAACUACAUUCCGUAACAUUUAUAAUAAAGUCACCAAACCAUGCACAGUCCAA